CAAUAGCGUAUAUUUAAGUUGUUGCAGUUAAAAAGCUCGUAGUUGGAUUUCGGGUGGGACGCAGCGGUCUCGCAUUGCGUUUGUACUGCUGCAGCCCUCCUUCUUGCCGGGGGCGGCCUCUCGGACUUCACUGUCUGGGGGUCAGAAUCGGCGAUGUUACUUUGAGUAAAUUAGAGUGUUCAAAGCAAGCUUACGCUCUGAAUAUAAUAGCAUGGGAUAACACGACAGGACUCUGGCCUAUCGUGUUGGUCUAUAGGACCAGAGUAAUGAUUAAGAGGGACAGUCGGGGGCAUUCGUAUUCCGUUGUCAGAGGUGAAAUUCUUGGAUUUACGGAAGACGGACAUCUGCGAAAGCAUUUGCCAAGGAUGUUUUCAUUGA
rnacentral:rRNA from 1 species